rnacentral:ncRNA from 1 species
CUUUCGAUUGAAGAGGUAGUGACGACACAUAACUCUAGAGUUGAGUAAAAUCAAUUCUUGAAGGAAUGAGUAGGAGGUAAAUUCUCCUACGAAAUCAAUUGGAGGGCAAGUCUGGUGCCAGCAGCCGCGGUAAUUCCAGCUCCAAUAGUGUAUAUUAAAGUUGCUGUGAUUAAAACGCUCGUAGUUGAAUUAAAAUGUGGUUUUAUACAUUUUGAAGACUUUAUGUAAGUAAAGUUUCUAGAAAUGUUAAAUUAAAAUCAAAGAAGGAAACAAUUCAAGUAAUUGAGUUGUUAUUACUUUGAAUAAAAUAAGGUGUUUAAAGCAAAACAUUAUGUUAAUGAAUAUUCAAGCAUGGGACAAUGCUGAGGGGAUGUCAAUAAGACAUUUCGAGAGAAGGAUUAAAAGGAACAAUUGGGGUGAUUCAGAAAAUAACGGGAGAGGUGAAAAUCCAUGAUCGCUAUAAGAUGCACGAGAGCGAAAGCAUUUCACUCAACUGUGUCCAUUAAUCAAGAACGAAAGUUAGGGGAUCGAAGACGAUCAGAUACCGUCGUAGUCCUAACUAUAAACGAUGUCAACCAAGGAUUGGAUGAAAUUCAGAUGUACAAAGAUAGAGAAGCAUUGUUUCUAGAUCUGAGUAUAUCAAUAUUACCUUGUUCAGAACUUAAAGAGAAAUCUUGAGUUUAUGGACUUCAGGGGGAGUAUGGUCACAAGGCUGAAACUUAAAGGAAUUGACGGAAGGGCACACCAGGAGUGGAGCCUGCGGCUUAAUUUGACUCAACACGGGAAAACUUACCAAGACCGAACAGUAGAAGGAAUGACAGAUUAAGAGUUCUUUCAUGAUUUAUUGGGUAGUGGUGCAUGGCCGUUCUUAGUUGGUGGAGUGAUUUGUCAGGUUAAUUCCGGUAACGAACGAGACUGAAACCUAUUAAUUAGUUUUCUGCCUAUAAGACAGAAAUGUUCGCAAGAACAGGUGCGUAAGUACCACUUCUUUAAGGGACACAUUUCAAUUGGUCUAUUUUAUUGUAGUUAUCUAAUUUCGGGUAGACCCUCUUUAACGUGGGAAAAGAAAAAGGAGCAU